GGGCCCGCACAAGCGGUGGAGCAUGUGGUUUAAUUCGAUGAUACGCGAGGAACCUUACCAGGGCUUAAAUGUAGUAUGACCGGUCUAGAAAUAGGCCUUCUCUUCGGAGCAGAUUACAAGGUGCUGCAUGGUUGUCGUCAGCUCGUGCCGUGAGGUGUUAGGUUAAGUCCUGCAACGAGCGCAACCCCUAUUCUUAGUUGCCAGCGGUUCGGCCGGGGACUCUAUGGAAACUGCCCGUGAUAAGCGGGAGGAAGGUGUGGAUGACGUCAAGUCCUCAUGGCCCUUACGGGUUGGGCUACACACGUGCUACAAUGGUGGUGACAAUGGGUUAAUCCCAAAAAGCCAUCUCAGUUCGGA
rnacentral:rRNA from 1 species